rnacentral:tRNA from 1 species
CUAAGCUGGCGGGCCUCUAUCCCGCGACAAUUUAAUUAACAACUAAACGUCCAAUCCAGCGGACUUCAACUUA